GAUGUCAUUUAUUUAACUCAGGGUUUUUAAUACAAAACAAACAAAAAGCUUUAUUUUUUUUAAAAAAGGUUAGUUGACCCCACCAGGCCCAACUUUCCCUCCUGUCCACGCCACUGCAGCUUGUGUGGCUUCAGGUCCAUCGUGCACUUGAAAUCAAUAUUUUCUAUUCUAUUUUUAUCGCUGUCAUUUCUAAUUACAUUGAUCCAUCCUUUUUUUUCUCCUGUCGAAAUUCAAAACGGAUCCCAUUUUAUUUUAAAAACACUUUUAAAGUUUUAUUUUUAAUAACGGAGGGAUGUUACGAUGUCGGCCAAUGCGAGGCGGCUUGUGGUAAAGUGUGUCAUUAAAUAUAAACGGUGAAGUGAAUAUUGUUUCCCCUCUCCUGAAUCAGACGGCUUUUUGCAGUGGCUUAUUUUGUCGAUUCACUUUUGUUUCAACCAAAAUCUUUCAAUACAGUUUUUAUCCUAAAUUGCUUGCCUUAAAAAAUAUCCCCCACCCAAUCCUGACGAUAAAUUAUCUUGAUCAUCUUUCCUUCUUGUUUGUUUACAUCAAAAUGUCAAUUUAUUUAUCAGUCUGCCACACACUUCUAAGACAAAACAGAUACUUUGUUUGGACCCAGAAAUGUUCAUGUGGUUGUUGGGUUGAGUUGAUGACAUUUUAUCAUAGCAUUGUUAAUAAAAGCCAAGGGUAUACGUAUCAAUGCGAAAGAA